rnacentral:lncRNA from 1 species
AUUACUUCAUUUGCAAGUAAGUGACUUUGUGCACACAUGUUAUUUGAGCAUCUUGGAAUCAACAGCCGUUAGCCUUGGUCCGUCCCACACCCGGUCUAAAGAGUUCUCUAACAACACAUAAUCCUUUUCUUAUCACCCAUAGCUCUUGCCAAGAGUGCAAUAAAUCAAACCUUGAAAACACUUGACCUAGCCAAGGGAAACCACAUGACAGCCAUGCUACUGCAGGCAGUUCAUGUUACAACUUGCUUCGCCUUGCCCAUUACCUUCC